rnacentral:rRNA from 1 species
UACGAAGGGGGCUAGGCGUUGUCCGGAAUCAUUGGGCGUAAAGCGCGCGUAGGCGGCCCGAUAAGUCUGCUGUGAAAGUCCAGGGCUCAACCCUGGAAUGCCGGUGGAUACUGUCGGGCUAGAGUUCGGAAGAGGCAAGUGGAAUUCCUGGUGUAGCGGUGGAAUGCGCAGAUAUCAGGAGGAACACCUAUAGCGAAGGCAGCUUGCUGGGACGACACUGACGCUAAGGCGCGAAAGCGUGGGGAGCGAACAGGA